rnacentral:rRNA from 1 species
AGGGUUAGUCGGUACCUAAGGCGAGGCCGAAAGGCGUAGUCGAUGGAUAGCACGUUAAUAUUCGUGCACCACUUCUGGUGAGUUUGAUGGACAGGGGUGACGGAGGCUGGAAGGUCAUCGGGGCGUUGAUUGUCCCCGUCGCUGGCCCGAGGUGCGCGGUAGGUAAAUCCGCCGCGAUAAUCCGGAGGUCGGCGCAGGACCAUUUGAGUCUGAAGUGAUCGGAAGGUCUUCCAAGAAAAACCUCGGUUCUAUUGCCAGGAGUGACCGUACUAAAACUGACACAGGUAGGCGAGGUGAGUAUCCUAAGGCGCUCGAGAGAACCUUCGUUAAGGAACUAGGCAAAAUGACUCCGUAACUUCGGGAGAAGGAGUGCCACGGUAGAGUGAUCCAGUUUCCUGGAGAGCUCGAAGUGGUCGCAGCGAAAAGGGUCUAGCGACUGUUUACUAAAAACACAGGACUGUGCUAAGACGCAAGUCGAUGUAUACAGUCUGACGCCUGCUCGGUGCCGGAAGGUUAAGGGGACGGGUUAUCCCUUCGGGGAGAAGCUCAGAACUGAAGCCCCGGUUAACGGCGGCCGUAACUAUGACGGUCCUAAGGUAGCGAAGUUCCUUGUCGGGUAAGUUCCGACCCGCACGAAUGGCGUAACGACUGGACCGGUGUCUCAACGAAGGACUCGGCGAAAUUGUAGUUGUGGUGCAGAUGCCACAUACCCGCGGCUAGACGGAAAGACCCCGUGAACCUUUACUAUAGCCUAUUAUUGGGUUUGGGUAAUGCAUGUGUAGGAUAGGUGGGAGGCGUUGAAGCGAGAUCGCCAGAUCUUGUGGAGCCAUCCUUGAAAUACCACCCUUGUAUUAUUUAAAUUCUAACCAGGUUCCGUGAAUCCGGGCUUGGAACAGUGGUAGGUGGGUAGUUUGGCUGGGGCGGUCUCCUCCCAAAGAGUAACGGAGGAGCCCAAAGGCUUCCUCAAUGCGGUUGGCAAUCGCAUGUAGAGCGCAAGGGUAAAAGGAAGCUUAACUGCGAGACCCAUAAGUCGAGCAGAUGUGAAAGCAGGGCCUAAUGAUCCGGCGUAUUCCGGGUGGAAGGGACGUCGCUCAUCAGAUAAAAGGUACUCCGGGGAUAACAGGCUGAUCUCCCCCAAGAGU